ensembl:lncRNA
GGAGCUUAACCGCCUAACACCUCCAACGAGAGCGCAUGGAAAAAAACAAGUUUUGCUCUGGCAGCAGGAAGAUAAGUGACGUGCUUCAAACUGGUUGGUUUUGUCGCUGGGUUUGGCUCUUCUUCCGAUUCUACGGCUACAUCUACCUGAGAGGACGGCUUUUUUCUUCCUAAUCGCCGCUCCAGAGGUCGACCGUCCUUCAGCAGGAGCAGGAAAGAGGAAGACUGGCCAACAGGGCGUCAAGAGCCCUCAUACAAUGAUGCCUCUUGUCUUGGUUUUCUGGCUCGGUGACUGCACCUGGGAAAGACUGGAGGGCCUGCAGCACUGGUUUAUAAUGCUGAUGAUUAACUAAAUAGAGUCUGGGAGAGCAGGUCUGCUUGGCUUUCUCAUUUCAUGGGGCCUGCCUGACCGGGACGAAGACGGAGCAUUCUCAGGCAGUGGGCUGGAAAUUCAAGAUCUUUUUUCUCUUUCUUUUUUGGCCUCCACCCUCUAAACGUAUUCACUUUUCUUCGGUUUUGUUACAUUCCUUCCUUGGGGUACCUUUCAUGACGGUAAGGUUACAGGUGCAUUCUCUGUUUUCCUUCUCCACCUUCUUUCCCCCAAACUUUUCCCUCCCUUCGAUUCUCUUUUCUUUCUCCCUCCCCGUCUCUCCCCCCUGCUCCACUUUUGCAUUACUUACAGGAUAACUUGAAACCUA